UGGUGAGACUCAUGACGAUACACUGAGUCACUGCUGUUUUUCUUUUUCCUGGUAGACGCUGCAGUCUUGUUUAGAGACAGAGUCCUCGGCUUCAAAGAGGUAAUCCUAAUACAUUGGCAGGGGAAACGGAACAACAGCUUGGCAUUUGCUGAGCAGUUCGUCGUGAGGGGCCCGGGACACCGGAUGCAGAGAACAGCACUGGCCAGGACUCAGAGAACAGAGGCUGCCAACCUGGAGGCCGCUAUGACCCACCCCAACCUCAACCAGGAAUGAAGAGCAGAUCUGUGUUCCCACGAGAGGCUGAGGCACUGUGGAGGUGGCUGGGGCACAGCCACAGGUAGAGUGCCUGUGCCAGAGAUGAUCCCACGUUGGACGGACGUCUGCACACUGAAGACAUGAUUGAUCAUCACUCAGCACAUCAAGCCCAUCCCCAUCGCUGGGCAGCCAUCUUCACCAUCCAUCACAGACAGUUUUCAUCCUGCAAAGCUGAAACUCUGCCAUGAAGCACUGACUCCCCAUUUGCCGUGCCCCACCCCCCAGCCCCCUGGGACCAUAACUGUCAUUCUGCUCUCUGUCUCCCUGAGUUUGGCUAUGCUAGGAACCUCACAGGAAAGGACCCAUUCCUUGUGUGAUUGAUGCCUUUUACCUAGCCCAGGGUCAUUUAUCUGCCUUGUAGUGCAUCUCAGAAUUUCUGUUUAUGGCUGCGUACUGUCUCACUGAAUGGACAUACCACAUUAUGUCAAUGCAGUCAUCAUUUGCAGGUAUUGCUUUUAUUAGCAUUUCCUUGAGUGUGUUAGAUCAAGGAGGGUCCCCUGACAAAGCCUGUGGCAUUUCAGGUCACAUCAUCUCAUGUGGUUCCAAGAAGCCUCCCCACCCCCUACCCCCCAGAUCUCCAGGACAGAGGUGAAAGAGGCACCUCCUCAAAGGAAAUUAGAGAAAUCCAAGGUUUCCAACUGGUGCCCCAGCUUUUGCCAAUAACCCUAUAAUCCAUCCCGAUUCCACCAAUGCAAAGAUAGUGUGUUGGUCCAUUUUCAGAUCCCCAGUGAUGCCCCAAUCCCUUAGGAUAAAGUUCAAAUGUCUAUGGGAGACUGCGAAGCCCUCCAUGGACCCAUGCUCCAUGGACCAAGUCUUCUCCAUCACGCCCCACUCCUCACUUCUUAGUCCCCACCCCCACCUCUUAGUUCUCCCCAAGGCCAACGAGUUCCACUUCUUUUAGGUCAGAAGACUCACAGUGUGUGCCCAUUUGUGCAAUUCUGUCUACCUGGAUGACCCAGAGUGUCUGUGACCAGUUUUGUGCCCACCAUAUUAGGAGAGGUAACAUGUUUAUGAGGUCCAGACCCAGAGUCUGACUUUCGUGUUUGAGUCGGGAUAAAGAAACCGGGAUCCUAACCAAAAUGUCCAAAAGACUGAAUCACAGGAGAGGCGUGGUCAUAGUGUGAGGACAGUUUUUUUUUUUUUUUUCAGAGACAUUUCCACUCAAAACACCCAUGUCCUGUCCUUCCUGGGGUCAGAAGGACCCAGCAUGAGGAUGAUUCCCUCAUGAGUACUUAUGCAAGUGAUAAGUGCUCAUGCAAGACACUGAGCUCUUUGAUUUAUUACAAUUAGAUAGUAAAUACAUUAAGGGUUGACAACAGAAUGAGUAGAUAUAUGUAUAGAUGAUGAAACAAUUAUUAUAUGCCCAAGCUUAUUAACCAUCUGUCACCACACAUGAUACCAUGUGUGUAUGUAUAAGAACACAUGAGGUGGAUCCACUAUGUGAGAGAUUUAUAAAUACAGUAUGGCAUUAUCUAUGGUCAUCACGAUGUGCAUUAGAAGCCUUUUGUGUUACAACUGAAGUUUGUACCUUUGGACCAACAUGGUACCAUUUCUCUAUUUGCAUUGCAUGCUCAUACUUUGGCUCCACAAGAGCAGUCACCUUGGAAAGUUUAGCCAGCUCUAGCAGACUAAGGGUCUGUUAUGGUCAUGAGAACUGGGCUAACAGUCAGCCACAGCUCCUUGGCAGACACAAUGGAACUCUCUCCCUGGCACAUUAAGUCAAAACCACAUCCAGUAUGACUCUCCCCUCCGGGAGUGACCGGAGUUCCAGUUCCAUCCUGAAGUGCUGCCACUUUCCAGCGGGGGGCCCUUGGUUCUUCCAGGCAAAGGGCAGGCAUGUCAUCUGUAGGUGGCUUCCGGCAGCCAGGCCUGGAAUGGUGCCCUUCACUUAUGCCUAUCUUCAUUGGUUGGCAGACAUCAUAUGGUGUUAUGGUUUGGGAGAGUCAUCAGAGUCUAGAGUCUCUACCCCCCUCCUCUGUGUGUGUGUGUGUGUGUGUGUGUGUGUGUGUGUGUGUCUGUGUGUCUGUGUGUAUCUGUGUCUGUGUGUGUGUCUAUGCAUGUUUCUGCGUGUGUGUCUGUGUGUGAGUGCAGAUCUUGGUUGUUAGUGUGAUGGUGUUAAGAAGUGACAGAACCUUUAAGAGGUGAAAUCUAGUAGGAAAGUGCUAAGACAUAAGGUAGCUCUUGUGGGACCCUGAUAUUGUUCUCUCCUGGGCCAGGGGUGUUGUAGAAUAUUAUUUUAAAGUGUGUUGCAUUUUUUAUGACUGCUUUUUUCCCCUUUGUUUGAAGUAUGGCUUUCUUAGCAUUUCACUUGUGAUGACUGCUGUCCAGAUAAACAUUUUUGAGUGUCUAAUAAAAUUUGGACAUUGUAUUCUUUGAGAAUCA